AAGCGGACAAUAGUAUUUGGAAACAGGAAAAAUUCACUGCCCUCUGCGGGAUGUGUGGAUUUUUCCUGAUUCCAAAAACUAUUGUCCGCUU
rnacentral:pre_miRNA from 13 species